rnacentral:rRNA from 1 species
CGUUUAUAGAAAUAAUUAUAAAUAGGUUCUGCCCACUGAAGAAUUGAAUGGCUGCAGUAUUCUGACUGUACUAAGGUAGCAUAAUCAUUAGUUUCUUAAUUGGAAACUGGAAUGAAAGAAUUGACAAAAUUUUAAUUGUCUCAAUUUAAAAGAAUGAAUUUAAAUUUUAAGUUAAAAUGCUUAAAUUUAAUUAAAAGACGAGAAGACCCUAUAGAAUUUUAUUUAAAUUAUUUUAUAGUAAUUAUUAAAAAAUUAUGUAAAAAUAAUUUAAAUUUGGUUGGGGUGAUAAUUUAAUUGAAUUAACUUAUAUAUUAGUGAACAUAGAUGAAUGAAUAAUUGAUUGGAUUUAAGGAAUCAUUAAUAGAAAAAAUUACCUUAGGGAUAACAGCGUGAUAUUUUUGGAGAGUUCAUAUUGAUAAAAAUGUUUGCGACCUCGAUGUUGAAUUAAGAUAUCAUUUAAUUGCAGAAGGUUAAAUUGUUAGUCUGUUCGACUAUUAAAAUCUUACA